GAGUGGACUCCUACGGGAGGCAGCAGUGGGGAAUAUUGGACAAUGGGCGCAAGCCUGAUCCAGCCAUGCCGCGUGUGUGAAGAAGGCCUUAUGGUUGUAAAGCACUUUAAGCGAGGAGGAGGCUACUUUAGUUAAUACCUAGAGAUAGUGGACGUUACUCGCAGAAUAAGCACCGGCUAACUCUGUGCCAGCAGCCGCGGUAAUACAGAGGGUGCAAGCGUUAAUCGGAUUUACUGGGCGUAAAGCGCGCGUAGGCGGCUAAUUAAGUCAAAUGUGAAAUCCCCGAGCUUAACUUGGGAAUUGCAUUCGAUACUGGUUAGCUAGAGUGUGGGAGAGGAUGGUAGAAUUCCAGGUGUAGCGGUGAAAUGCGUAGAGAUCUGGAGGAAUACCGAUGGCGAAGGCAGCCAUCUGGCCUAACACUGACGCUGAGGUGCGAAAGCAUGGGGAGCAAACAGGAUUAGAUACCCUUGUAGUCCUAG
rnacentral:rRNA from 1 species